CCCUUAGAUGUUCUGGGCCGCACGCGCGCUACACUGACGAAGUCAGCGAGCAUGUCCUACGCCGACAGGUGCGGGGAAUCUUGUCAAACUUCGUCGUGAUGGGGAUUGAUUAUUGAAAUUCUUGAUCAUCAACGAGGAAUUCCUAGUAAGCGCAAGUCAGCAGCUUGCGUUGAUUACGUCCCUGCCCUUUGUACACACCGCCCGUCGCUACUACCGAUUGAAUGGUUUAGUGAGAUCUUCGGAUUGGCGCCACUGCGGCUCAGCAAUGGGCUCGGUGGAUGCCGAAAAGUUGAUCAAACUUGAUCAUUUAGAGGAAGUAAAAGUCGUGACA
rnacentral:rRNA from 1 species